AUGUGGGUACGAAUAGUCAAAUUGCCGUUCUAGGCUGCACGUACCCACAUCCGGUUUUCUAUUAAAAUGCCAUCGGAUCGGGAAUGAAACGUGAAAUAUAUACGGAAAUUAUCGAUAAUAUGGGGAUUUCGUGUAGAAAGAGUGAAGAGUAUGAAAAAUUAUAUUUUAAAAUUGUAUUUAUUAAAUAAUGAUACAUAAUAAACAUUGCAAAAUUAAAUGCACAAUGAUGUAAAAUGAAACUGUACAGUCCCUGUAAAAGAAAAACAUGAUAGAAAUUAAUGCUAUUAUAAAAUUUAAAUGAAAAUUUAAAGAAUAACAUUUUAAUAAUUUAAAAAUAUACCCAUAUGAUAUUUUAAAAUAAUCUUUUAGUAAAAUGUAAAACAGAAACUGAAAUUUUAAAAUAUAUAAAACUACUAAAAUUAAAGCUUGAGUUUAUAAAAAUUAAAGAAGCAAGUAAUAAAUCAAUUUUUAACCAAUUAUAAAAGAUUCAUGUAACUAGUUAAGAUUUCGAACAAAUUUUACGUAUCCAAUAUGAUU
rnacentral:lncRNA from 1 species